GAGGUCUUUAGGGGUCGACUCUAAGACUAUGCGUAGAAAACUACCUCUCUAUCUUUCUUGAGAGAGCCGACUCAAGGCUUGUGGGAGUCGACUCAAGAUCUAUACCGGUGCUACUCUACAUAUCAAAAUCAACUCUAGGACUUUUUGAGUCGACUCAAGACCUAUGCCAAAUUUUAAAAUUGAGCUAGAGUUGACUCUACUCCUUCAAGAGUCGACUCGAGGCCAUCAUCACUUGAAAUUUACAUGGCUUAAUCUUUUUAAUCUAUCUUCUUUG
rnacentral:lncRNA from 1 species